AAGGAAGGGAGUUAGGUGUAUCCUUAGUUAGCAGUGAGAAGUAUUCAUUAUGAAGUAUUUCUCAGAAAUACCUGGCUUGUGGGUUCCACCCCCAGUGAUUUAGGUCUGAGAUGACCCUGAAAAUCUACCUUUCUAACAAGUCCCCAGUGAUGCUGAUGCAUCUGGACCACACUCAGAUGGUUUACAGCAGUGGUUUUUUCAAAAUGUGGAUCAUGUCCAAGUUGGUGAAGAAAACUAGUGAAUGAAAGACCUGACCACAUGAAGUAAAGCAUUGAACUCUUGUUUAGAUUGUAUUGAUGUUUGUGUACCAGAUUUGAAUGUAAAAUGGGUUUCUUAUUUAAUUCAGGGACCUUCAACUGAAAAUUGGUAAAUACUGAUGGACUUUUCUGUGUGGUCUUGGGCAUUUCACUCCUGAGCCCUGGUUUCCAUACUGUAUACUGUGUGUUAACAUGUUUCAAAGGAUAAUUGUCAAACUAAAUCUGAAAUUUAUCAGCAUGGCUGGCAUAUAGGGACUCAAAAGGGAUGUGGAUUUCUUUUCAGUUGUCUUCCAUAAACCAAAUGAUACCAGUUGCUUGAUGGAUACUAGGUGCUUUAGGUUUUUUCCUGUGUCUUUUAUUUUACCUUUUCACAUUUGCAUUUUCUGUGUUCAACAAGCAGAACAGGAUAAUUCAGACAACAACACCAUCUUUGUGCAAGGCCUGGGUGAGAAUGUUACAAUUGAGUCUGUGGCUGAUUACUUCAAGCAGAUUGGUAUUAUUAAGACAAACAAGAAAACGGGACAGCCCAUGAUUA
rnacentral:sRNA from 1 species